rnacentral:rRNA from 1 species
AUUGAACGCUGGCGGCAUGCUUUACACAUGCAAGUCGAACGGUAACAGGCCGCAAGGUGCUGACGAGUGGCGAACGGGUGAGUAAUGCAUCGGAACGUGCCCAGUCGUGGGGGAUAACUACUCGAAAGAGUAGCUAAUACCGCAUACGAUCUAUGGAUGAAAGCGGGGACCGGAAGGCCCCGGCCGGUUGGGGCGGGCGAUGUCAGAUUAGGUAGUUGGUGGGGUAAAGGCUCACCAAGCCAACGAUCUGUAGCUGGUCUGAGAGGACGACCAGCCACACUGGGACUGAGACACGGCCCAGACUCCUACGGGAGGCAGCAGUGGGGAAUUUUGGACAAUGGGCGCAAGCCUGAUCCAGCAAUGCCGCGUGCAGGAAGAAGGCCUUCGGGUUGUAAACUGCUUUUGUACGGAACGAAACGGCUCUGGUUAAUACCCGGGGCUAAUGACGGUACCGUAAGAAUAAGCACCGGCUAACUACGUG